rnacentral:rRNA from 1 species
AGCGCCGAUGGUACUUGGACCGAAGGGUCCUGGGAGAGUAGGACGUUGCCAAGC